rnacentral:rRNA from 1 species
CAGUGAAAUUGAACUCGCUGUGAAGAUGCAGUGUACCCGCGGCAAGACGGAAAGACCCCGUGAACCUUUACUAUAGCUUGACACUGAACAUUGAGCCUUGAUGUGUAGGAUAGGUGGGAGGCUUUGAAGUGUGGACGCCAGUCUGCAUGGAGCCGACCUUGAAAUACCACCCUUUAAUGUUUGAUGUUCUAACGUGGACCCGUAAUCCGGGUUGCGGACAGUGUCUGGUGGGUAGUUUGACUGGGGCGGUCUCCUCCUAAAGAGUAACGGAGGAGCACGAAGGUUGGCUAAUCCUGGUCGGACAUCAGGAGGUUAGUGCAAUGGCAUAAGCCAGCUUGACUGCGAGCGUGACGGCGCGAGCAGGUGCGAAAGCAGGUCAUAGUGAUCCGGUGGUUCUGAAUGGAAGGGCCAUCGCUCAACGGAUAAAAGGUACUCCGGGGAUAACAGGCUGAUACCGCCCAAGAGUUCAUAUCGACGGCGGUGUUUGGCACCUCGAUGUCGGCUCAUCACAUCCUGGGGCUGAAGUAGGUCCCAAGGGUAUGGCUGUUCGCCAUUUAAAGUGGUACGCGAGCUGGGUUUAGAACGUCGUGAGACAGUUCGGUCCCUAUCUGCCGUGGGCGCUGGAGAACUGAGGGGGGCUGCUCCUAGUACGAGAGGACCGGAGUGGACGCAUCACUGGUGUUCGGGUUGUCAUGCCAAUGGCACUGCCCGGUAGCUAAAUGCGGAAGAGAUAAGUGCUGAAAGCAUCUAAGCACGAAACUUGCCCCGAGAUGAGUUCUCCCUGAGACUUUAGGUCUCCUGAAGGAACGUUGAAGACGACGACGUUGAUAGGCCGGGUGUGUAAGCGCAGCGAUGCGUUGAGCUAACCGGUACUAAUGAACCGUGAGGCUUAACCUU